rnacentral:rRNA from 1 species
CUUACACAUGCAGUCGUACGGUGAAGAGAGGAAUGCUUCUUGGAUCAGUGGCGAACGGGUGAGUAACACGUGAGCAAUCUGCCCUUGACUCUGGGAUAAGCGUUGGAAACGACGUCUAAUACCGGAUACGACCCUCGGAGGCAUCUCCUGGGGGUGGAAAGAAUUUUGGUCAAGGAUGAGCUCGCGGCCUAUCAGCUAGUUGGUGAGGUAAUGGCUCACCAAGGCGACGACGGGUAGCCGGCCUGAGAGGGUGACCGGCCACACUGGGACUGAGACACGGCCCAGACUCCUACGGGAGGCAGCAGUGGGGAAUAUUGCACAAUGGGCGAAAGCCUGAUGCAGCAACGCCGCGUGAGGGACGAAGGCCUUCGGGUUGUAAACCUCUUUUAGUAGGGAAGAAGCGAAAGUGACGGUACCUGCAGAAAAAGCACCGGCUAACUACGUGCCAGCAGCCGCGGUAAUACGUAGGGUGCAAGCGUUGUCCGGAAUUAUUGGGCGUAAAGAGCUCGUAGGCGGUUUGUCGCGUCUGCUGUGAAAACCCGAGGCUCAACCUCGGGCCUGCAGUGGGUACGGGCAGACUAGAGUGCGGUAGGGGAGAUUGGAAUUCCUGGUGUAGCGGUGGAAUGCGCAGAUAUCAGGAGGAACACCAAUGGCGAAGGCAGAUCUCUGGGCCGUAACUGACGCUGAGGAGCGAAAGCAUGGGGAGCGAACAGGAUUAGAUACCCUGGUAGUCCAUGCCGUAAACGUUGGGAACUAGAUGUGGGGACCAUUCCACGGUCUCCGUGUCGCAGCUAACGCAUUAAGUUCCCCGCCUGGGGAGUACGGCCGCAAGGCUAAAACUCAAAGGAAUUGACGGGGGCCCGCACAAGCGGCGGAGCAUGCGGAUUAAUUCGAUGCAACGCGAAGAACCUUACCAAGGCUUGACAUAUAGAGGAAACGGCUGGAAACAGUCGCCCCGCAAGGUCUCUAUACAGGUGGUGCAUGGUUGUCGUCAGCUCGUGUCGUGAGAUGUUGGGUUAAGUCCCGCAACGAGCGCAACCCUCGUCCUAUGUUGCCAGCACGUAAUGGUGGGAACUCAUGGGAUACUGCCGGGGUCAACUCGGAGGAAGGUGGGGAUGACGUCAAAUCAUCAUGCCCCUUAUGUCUUGGGCUUCACGCAUGCUACAAUGGCCGGUACAAAGGGCUGCAAUACCGUAAGGUGGAGCGAAUCCCAAAAAGCCGGUCUCAGUUCGGAUUGAGGUCUGCAACUCGACCUCAUGAAGUCGGAGUCGCUAGUAAUCGCAGAUCAGCAACGCUGCGGUGAAUACGUUCCCGGGCCUUGUACACACCGCCCGUCAAGUCAUGAAAGUCGGUAACACCCGAAGCCAGUAGC